rnacentral:misc_RNA from 1 species
UUAACUAUUUAAUAGUACUCAGACGACACUAAUAUUCAGAGUUUGGUCCUCUGGCGGGCACGCACGAGCUGGAGCCCAUGGUCGUGAGACGACCCGCCAAAGCAACGAUAGUAGGUAGACACGGUGUGUUGAGGCACGCCCGUUUUUAGGCGGGCGGCACACAACAGAAGUUUGGUAAUGAUCCUUCCGCAGGUUCACCUACGGAAA